rnacentral:lncRNA from 1 species
GGUUGGAUCCAGAAGAGAAAUAUUUCUCGUAGAUCUAGAUGAAUCCAGGAAAAUGCCUAAUCCAUCCCACCACCGCGACGCACAGAGGGACAGAGGGGGGGUUGAGAGUAUCGGACAUUCGUGUUUCGUGGGUGGCGGCGGCGUCUGCCCGGCGUCCCAACCGACUGAAGGUUGGUGUACUCUUCUUCUCGUCCCCCUGUUCUCCCUCCUCUAUUCACUUUGAGCGUCGGACGGCCAGCGGUGCUAGGGCGCGGGAGAGCGGGUGCCACAACCAUAUCCAGGCGGCACAAGGGCGCGGGAGGGGGGGUGUGACGGUUGGCGGCGCGCUGGCUCAGGCGUGCGGCCACGACGGCCGACUGCGCGCGGAAGCGAGAGGGGCCGCGACGGCCAGAUCCAGGCGGCAUUUCUUUGCUCAAUUUGAUGCAAACAUACUGUUAAUAUUCUGGUUCUAUCAUACUGCUAUGAUUCUGCAAACAUACUGCUAAAUCCAGGCCAGAACAAUGCUUGCAUUCGUAUUAUUCUGUUUAUGCAUUUUUUCUCUUCAUACAAAAACAGCAAAUAAUUAGCAGCAUGUUUAAAGAAAAAAAAGAAACGUAUGAUAUUUUGAAGUUG